ACGCAGCCACUGGAACGCACUUAAGUCCGAAUCUCGCGACAAUUACUACGUCACCCAGGUAAUUCUCGCCUACUCUUUUGGAUUCAUUCAUACUUUUUUGCUCGCCUACUCUUUUUCCCAUACUAAAUAGUAGGAAGUAUGCGGUUUGGAACGCAGCCACGGAUCAGAAAUCCAAAAUGGCGGCCACGUGCAACUAGCGCUCCACUCAUGAUUGACUGUGUUGCUACUGUUAUAUCUUUUUUGCAGAUCUCCUCCUUCAGUGAUGCUCCUCCUCCUCCUCCAGUGAAGCUCCUCCUUCAGUGAAGCUCCUCCCACUGCAGUUCACCAAUAAACGGAAUAUUCCCCUCAGCUACAAGUGAAGACGAGCAUCAAACCAUCAGGAAGAGCUAACACAAACACAGAGUUUAUUGAAGGACACUGAGAACAUGAGAUCCAGAACACUGCAGAAUGAAACACACUGAAGAACAAAGAGGUUCUGAGUGCUUGACAACUGUGAGGUGAGUGAAUUUUUUCUGACUCGUUAGUUUAGAUCGUAUUUGGAUAUAAAAUGUAUGAAAAAUAAGGGCGGUUAACUUUGAUUGA